rnacentral:lncRNA from 1 species
GCGGCCGCCCAGCGCCCGUCCCCGCGCCGCACUCCCCGGCACUCCCCGGCGCUCCCCGCGCCGCGCGCCCCGCACCGGCUGGAGGCCCCGGCCCCCCGGCGUUCCCUCUCCGCGCACCUCCCGGCCCGCGCUAGCAGGUAGCAGGCAAGAGUGUGGUUAUCGUUGGACCAGGAUUCAGGAUCUGACUGAGUAGCUGACUCUUAAUCCAGUUUGUGUUGAUCACCAGGAGGAUCUGGACCUCAGUAUUACCACAUCUAGAGCUAUAAUCACAUCCCUGUUAAGCCUUCCUGAGAUCACACCAAAUGUCCUUGAUGGGAAUUGUAAACAACCCUUACUUCUGGUUUCUAAUGAUAUUCCAGGAAAGGAGCCUAACUAGAGUCAGUGAUAUGCCAACUCCACCUUUGCCUUCCACCAUGUUUGGAAGCUCCCUGAGGCCUCACCAGGAGCAGAUGCUCGUCCCAUGCUUCCUAUAAGCCUGCAGAACUGGAAAAGAAAGCUGGAUAAAGUAUUUAUAGAAGAUAGAGGACCUGUGGUGGCUCAUGCCUGUAAUCCAAGGUGGAAGGAUUGCUUGAGGCCAGAAGUUCAAGACCAGUCCAAGCAACAUAGCAAGGCCCCAUCUCUACAAAAAAUGAAAAUAAAAUUAGCCGAGCGUGAUGGCUCAUGCCUGUAGUUCUAGCUUCUAGAGAGGCUGAGGCAGGAGGAUUGCUUGAGUCCAGGAGUUCAAGAUUACAGUGAGCUAUGGUCACACCACUGCACUCCAGCCUGGGUGAUGGAGUGAGACUGUCUCAAUAAAAAGACAAAAAGGCUGGCCAGGGGCAGUGGUUCAUGCCUGUAAACCCAGCACUUUGGGAGGCAAAGGCAGGAGGAUUGCUUAAGCCCAGGAAUUUGAGAUCAGCCUGGACAACAUGGUGAGACCCCCAUCUCUACAAAAAUUUUUUUUAAAAGUUACCCAGGCAUGGUGUUGCACAUCUGUGUUCCCAGCUACUGGGGAGGCUGAGACGGGAGGAUCACUUGAGUCCAGGAAGUUGAGAGGUUGAGGCUGCUGUGAGCUGUGAUUGUGCCACUGCACUUUAGCCUGGACAACAGAGGGAGACCCUGUCAACAACAACAACAACAACAAAAAAGCAAAACAUCAUAGGCUGCAGAAAUAAACUUUCUUGUCAAUUGUGUCUUUAACCAUGACCAUUUUGAGUCAUUUCCACAGUGAGUUGCCUAAUUUUGAUGCAUUUCUGAAAACUCUUUAUAAGCAAGUAAAAUCCUAGAGAAUUGUGCCUUCAAGGAGACUCAUGGAAAGGAUGGAAAGAACUCUUGAAUACAUGUUUCUGAUAGCUUUAUGAUCAUAUCAUUUGGACUGGGUAAGAAUUCCCAGAACUCAUGAAGAGACUGACUAUUUAUUAAUCCAAGCAGGAAAAGAAUUAAUUGAAUACCAAGGAAAUACUGUGCCAGAGAUUUUCAUGCUAAAUCAGUCAGCACCGAAAUCGUUAAGAUGUGUAGUUUGAAUGAACUCCAUGAUCCUAGUCAAAUUUCCUAUGAUGACCCAUUUAAUAAACAGUGCUAUGCACCUGAAUUGGAGAAACAGAAUUGAUACUUAAAUCCAAUGUUAAUCAUAGAUUCAUGGAAAGCCUAAAUGGCUGCUUGGGUCUUCCUGAGCCCUUAAAGCUUCCAUUAUUAAAGGCUCUGCACUUUAUAAGUUAUCACUGAAGAGAGAAAAUGAUCCAGAUUUAAAAUACACAUAUUGGUGUGGUGAAUGUUCUAAAUUGCGAAAAUGGUUUAUGACCAACAUUUGGUUUGUCAUGCUCACAAUCCUGGAAAUACAUUCAAAACUUCAGGUACAUUUCUGCUACCUGAUGGGCUAUUUGAAUAUAUAGAGAGGGAUUUCAUUCAAUUGCCAUUUUCAUUGCAUGUUUUUUGGUUGUAUAGAAGCUUUCCCAUGCAAGGAGGCUGAUGCUGUUAUUACAGUAGCUAAAAGGUUAGUAGGAAAUGUGUUUUCCCCCAUGGGGCAUUCCUGGAGAAAUCUCUAGCAAUAAAGGUACUUGUUUGACUGGACAAGUUGUAAAACAGUUUAAUAAGGUUUUUUUUAGGUGUCAUAGCAUUAGGCAAAGCUAACUGAAUUGACUGGAUUGUCAUAGUCAAACAUAUUGCAGAUCCGCUUCCAAUAGAAGACAAUGAAAUAGUCACUGGAAAGCCUGUGCUCCUAAUUUUAGAACCUCAUGUAUCUUCUGCUCCUAAACUCUGAUAGGACUAAAUGCUGUGAGGCCUCAAUGCAUUAUGUUAAUGUGUAUUUUCACCAGGUCAAGGAAGCUUUUCCUGAUCCACUAACUAAGGACAAUCAAACCCUUCAUGAUCUAGAAUCUGGAGACUGUGUCUUCUGGGAAUAGUAUCAGAGAAAGACUGCCCUUACUGCCCACAUGUAGCAAAACUUUGAGACGUUGAAUUAUGGGUCCAUAAUCUCACAACUCAGAGGGGCACCUCUAGACUCUUGGAACUGUAUAUCUAUUGGAGACUUUAAGGUAAAGCUGAACAGAGAGACGUUUUUCUCCAGAAGCAGACAGCACCAUAGUCAUGGACAGCUUUCCCAAGAUCACAGAUCAAGACUUCUCUGCCGUCAUGAGACUCAUAACCUCUUAAUUUUUUCUUGCUUAUGCUUCUGUGAACAAUAGAAUUGGAAAAGGGGUGGUCCCGCGUGCACCCAUAGGGUAUACUUUUAUUUGUGGAGGAUUUUGCUGCCAACCUUAUACAUGGGCAAACUUAUGCCUUCAUGGAUGGAAGAUAAAGGGCUAAUAUGGGUUAGAAAUUUUAAUGGUACCUUUGUUUCUCCAUAAUCAUUCAGAAACAGAACACUGGUCCACUCUUGUUAACCUACAUCAUAGGUUGAAGAGAACAUUGCCAGGAGGCCUUCAUCCUUCCAGAUGGGCACCAUUUGUUGGGUCUUUUUCCGUGGUAUGAAGAAAAUGAAGCAAUGAUUAGAAAUUGGUCCCUCGGCCGGGCACAAUGGCUCAUGCCUGUAAUCCCAUCACUUUGGCAGGCCGAGGCGGGUGGAUCACCUGAGGUCAGGAGUUUGAGACCAGCCUGACCAAUGUGGUGAAACGCCAUCUCUACUAAAAAUACAAAAAUUAGCUGGGUGUGAUGGUGCACACCUGUAAUCCAGCUACUCGGGAGGCUGAGACAGGAGAAUUGCUUGAACCUGGGAGGCAGAGGUUGCAGUGAGCCAAGAUCACCCCACUGCAUUCCAGGUUGGGCAACAGAGCAAGACUCUGUCUCAAAAAAAAAAGAAGAAAGAAAGAAAUUGAUCCCUCAUAAUAGGCUGUAUAGCAGAUUCUACUGCAAAGGCUAUGGUUGCACAACAGACUUCUUUGAAUUUGCUUGCUAAACUUUUACUGGAUAAUACUGGGAUUACAGGUGUGAGCCACUGUGCCCAGCCUCUCCUGUUUAACUGUAUUCAUUCUAAUGUUUACUUACUUCUUUAAUUUGUAAAAUUGGGUCACUUAGAGUUUUUUUAGCCUAUCUUGCCAUUUAGCCACUGUUACUGAUAAUUUGGAUGGAAAAGAAAAAUAAAUUAUAUCACCUCUCA